rnacentral:lncRNA from 1 species
GAUCUCUUGGAUGAAAGACCUUCAGCUUGAUUUUUGUAUUGUAAUACUAGGCUAUUCUUUACUGAUAUGCCGCCAUCCGAACUUGAGCUUGCUAUCGGACUUUCGGAAGUAAGUCUAGGUCGGUUCUCUGACAUUCAGAAUUGUUCGAUUCAUUAUACUGUUCCACUCUUGCUGAUGGUAAUCCAAUUUCAAGUGAAAUCAUCGUCUCUAUCUCAUAGGCUAGGUUGAAUGGUGAUUCUCUUAUCGGUAUACGAAGAGUUGUUUAAUACGCCCA